CCUACGGGGGGCAGCAGUGGGGAAUAUUGCACAAUGGGGGAAACCCUGAUGCAGCGACGCCGCGUGAGUGAAGAAGUAUUUCGGUACGUAAAGCUCUAUCAGCAGGGAAGAAAAAAAGUCCUUUGGACUUUGGACGGUACCUGAGUAAGAAGCCCCGGCUAACUACGUGCCAGCAGCCGCGGUAAUACGUAGGGGGCAAGCGUUAUCCGGAUUUACUGGGUGUAAAGGGAGCGUAGACGGCGAAGAAAGUCUGAAGUGAAAGCCCGCGGCUUAACCGCGGAACUGCUUUGGAAACUUUUUUGCUG
rnacentral:rRNA from 1 species